UACAGAGGUCCCAAGCGUUGUUCGGAUUCACUGGGCGUAAAGGGUGCGUAGGUGGUGAGGUAAGUCGGAUGUGAAAGCUCGGAGCUCAACUCCGAAAUGGCAUUGGAAACUACCUUGCUCGAGGGUUGGAGGGGGGACUGGAAUGCUUGGUGUAGCAGUGAAAUGCGUAGAUAUCAAGCGGAACACCAGUGGCGAAGGCGGGUCCCUGGACAACUCCUGACACUGAGGCACGAAAGCUAGGGGAGCAAACAGG
rnacentral:rRNA from 1 species